ensembl:lncRNA
CCGGGACUGGGAGCCUCCCAGGUGCUACAUCCGCAUCAUCAGCCUCAGGCCUCCCUUGGGGCCUCUCCCUUCAAACCACAGCAUCCUCAUCCCACCCCACCCCCAGGUAGGAUGCUGGUCGCUCAGCCUGGAGAGACCUUUUUAAUUUGAGGAUAAACAGACUGUCAUCCUGGCUCGGCCCUCUGUGGGCUUGCUGCUCCCCGCCCCCCUCAAUCCGCAGUGCACAGCCGCUCUGUUCUCCUGCCAACUUGGCAGCUCGUUGCUGCUGUUACUAUCAACACCUCUGAGGGAAAAAGGAGAGGAGUCGGUUCUGAUCGCCUAGUGCACUGAGCAACACAUUCAUACCGAGCCUGAGCACUCUGGAAUGUUUCCCGAGCUCCGAAGACUCCGGGUGGGGCAAGAAAGGUGGGAUCUGUGUUGCAGAGAACAGAUGGGCCGGAAAUCAGCCUGAGCUCGGAUCCGAUCAGCCCCAGUAGGAGCAGCGCUUUAGCAGAGAGACUGAAACCAGUCGAGGACACACACAAACCCGCCCCUCCUCCCCACCUCCCACCCCCGCCCCUGCUCCCCACCUCAGGGAGUACUGGGAGGGAAUAAGAAGAGCUGCUGAAGGUUGUGGCUGGAGCCUCAGAGGUACAGGACCGGAAUAUCGGUAAAUGGAUCUUGCUGUUACCUCAUCUCUUGUCACAGUCCAAAUAACAUGGAUGGCUUCAGUUCAAGAGAUGGUAGAUCAGGGUUUUGUGGUGUGGGUAGGAAAAUGCUUUUGGGAUUUUGUUUAGGGAUGUAUGAAGAACUGGGUCUUUUUCUUUCACCAUCCUUGGACUCCAUGUCUCCUUUACCAGUUCAGACCGGGUGCUAGAAUGAGCACACUUUCUUUACCGGUUGAAAGCUUCCAGGGUCAGCCUUUUCCUUUACCCAAACCCACUCAGAGCCACUCAGGCCCAGCCCUCUGACUUCCCCAAGCUGCUAGUUAGUGCCUUUCUCAGCCGUGGGUUAGGACUCCCAGGGAGGAGGGGCUGUUGGGAAGAACAAAGAAUAUCUUCAGAGACAGAAAGCCCACUCUAAAGCAAAGGCCUGCUGAUAACUCCAGUCACUCAGUCACUCCUGACAGGAUCAAGAGGUGUUCAUUGUGCUGCUUUCCCCGGAGGAAUGCCUCUCCAGCCCUCUCCCUGGUAGCUAAGGUAAAGCCUGAACUUCCUGACUUUAGUCUCAGCCACAAGGGCUGGCUUGGGACUAGCUCCUGAAUUCCAUACCAGUGGUCUGCCCAACCCACCCGAAAAUGUGGUCCUGGUUCCUAGUCGGGUGUGUGUGGGGAGGGACGAUCAUCAGCCUGUUCGCUUUUCUAUAACACAGAGAAGUCAGGCACCUCAAUGGGCUGCAGACUACAGAAUGAAGACCUAAAACUGAGGCUUGUAUACAACUGGAAUGUGCCCUCCUUUUCUAUGCUGCUCUCCCUCUACCCUCCCUAGAAGCCCUUUUUCAGAUGUGAAACUGAUACCAAGAUUAUUUCCAGCCCUGGGAAUCUGAACCCUCUCACCUUCCUGGUAAGAACUACCCAGCUACCCAAGAAAACCUUCAGACUAUCUCAGGGCCUGAGAACAGGAAAGAGGACUCAGUCAGCAGGCUGGAAUUGAAAUAAGCCAUGAGAGGCUGUGCCAUUCCGGGCUGCACCUGUGAGCAGCCCCUCCAAUGAAGCCCUGUCAGCGUUUCCAUGACAAACUCAUAUUUCCGGAUGCUUCUCUUCCAGCUUGAAGAGCUUGUCUCUCGGCGAGGCUUGAUACUGAAAGUGCAUUCAGAUUUUCACACCCCCCCCCAAAAAAAGAUUGUACACCCCAUAAAAACUUACAACCUGGGGUUGGGGAUUUAGCUCAGUGGUAGAGUGCUUACCUAGGAAGCGCAAGGCCCUGGGUUCGGUCCCCAGCUCCGAAAAAAAGAACCAAAAAAAAAAAAAAAAAAAAAAAAAAAAAACCCUUACAUCCUCCUUGUAUGUAUUUGCUCUUUAUUUUGAGUUUGAUGGCAUAACCUUUGUUCUGGUGAAAAUAAGCAACACACACAGAGGAAGACUCGAGGAGAACCGCUAACGACUACAUGGGGCCAGCACACAGUGUGUAAGACCUCUCUUUGCAAGAGAUCCUCUGCUUCCAUUUGCUUAUCUCAAAGCCAAAAGUGAUUUCUACUUUUGAGUUUGAAGGACUCCCCAGCUCCAGGUGUCCAUUGGCCUCUAACAGAGGCUGACUCCAGAAGGUCACCAGCUCCCAGCUGGCAAUGGAUGAGUGGAAGGAUUUUGAGGUACCUCGAAGGUCAGUGGAAGGGCAGAAAGGGCCUUUCAGUAGGAGCUUUUCACCGGCUCGACGUUGCUACUCUCCAGUACAUUAGCAUCACAAGAUCGAAACAGAAAACUCGGGUAUAUCCCAAAGUGGGAAGAAAAUGAUGUCAUAAACUGGGAGCGAGAUGUGGGCCGAGCUAUGUGGAGGCCUGAGACGAGAGAUGUGUCGUGGCCGCAAUCGCAAGGAUUAAGAAAGUUGGUCCAGUAUGGCCGUGCACCCCUUCCAUCCCAGCACUUGAAGGGCAGAGGCGGGUGAUUCUUACUGGCUUGGUCAAACUUCCCCUAAUAGACAGAACUGCCUCCUAGCGGGAACCCCAUGGUCUCCAAAGAAGAUAUACGGAUAUACGAGGCACAAGGACUCCACCAGGAUUGUGGUAGUGCUAACCACUGGGAUAAACUGUUCCAUGCCUCAUCUGCUGUCAGUGCUCUUCUCAAACUGUGGGCGUUUUUUUUGGGUUGAUUGCCCUAUUUUGCCUGGUCAAAGUAAGGUCAGUUCUCCCAAGUUCCCCUUUAGGAAAAAAAAAUCUCUCAGAUCUGACAGCCAAAGGCCUAUGCUCCUCUGUAUGACAGCUAAAGAUUUGGCUAUGUGAUGGCCGAAGACUAACCACUGCCCCCAACGAAACUCUGAAGACCACUGGACCCCAAGGUAACCCGUCUCAUGUAAUGGGGAAGUCUCUGUCAUUCCAGGUAUAAUCUCUCCUCAGAUCUCUGAGGAUAUGGACUGACUGUAGCUUUAACAGCAACAAGCAUACCAGCUCCUCCCCCAAGGCUUCAGCUGCCUUCCCAGUUCUCUUCCUAGGUAAAGACCAGGCCUGAGGCCUCACUCACCUAGAGUUUCUGCUGUAGAGAUUCUGGGCCUUGCUACCAGGCUCCAAAAAGAGAUAAACUCACUAAAGAGGUUUCAAAGUAACUUUUUACCAUUCCUUUCUUUUUUUUUUUUUUUUUUUUUUUUUUUUUGGAGCUGGGGACCGAACCCAGGGCCUUGGGCUUGCUAGGCAAGUGCUCUACCGCUGAGCUAAAUCCCCAACCCCACCAUUCCUUUCUUUAAGGGGACUCUUUGCAAUAACUGCACUCCUGCAGUCACCCCUGGGUCCUCAUGGUAAACAACAGGAUGUAAAAGAAAAAGUGAUUCAAUCUUUAUUAAGACUUCAAAAGUUCAGAGUUUAAACAUUAAUCAGCGGAGUUCUGAUAAGCCAUCAAUCUAGCUCUGCUAAAGUACUUGUUAAUAGUAUCAUAGUCAAAUUUAAAAUGUUAGAUUUUCCUUUGGUCGUUUCCUAAGUACAGACUUAAAAAUGCUUCUCAGUUUGCCAAAGGCAUCUCUGUCCAGUCUAUAUACACAGCACUCUGGAGAGAGUGUUCAUGCUUCUAACCCAAAAUCAUUUUGGCAUUCCCACACUUUUACUUCCAUUCAGAGGCACGAGUCUACUGCUCUUUCCCACAGUGCAGAUUUCAGUACAUAUUACAAAAGUGGUGAUGCUAACAACAUCAGAACUUUUGUCUUUAUAAUCUUAAAAAAAAAAAAAUCUUGUAAGCUGCUGGACCCACCUCUCACAGGUCAAAUGGACCCCAAAUAAGUACUCGUGUCAAACAACAGCCUAAAUUUUAAUGCCCACUGCCUGUUCCUGAGGGUGGGAUCUUUCUCCCUUUUCCUGAUCUUGGAGCUCCCCUCUCCAGCUACCUUUGAGGACCCUGGGCCUCAAAGUUUCAAAUGUGCACCCAGGAUAAACUUUCCCUUCUUCUCCUAGUCUAUCUGUCCCAGUUGAUUCCAGAUCCGACUAGUCCCCAGCUCCGGGUGCUCCCCCACAACCCACAUCCCAAGCAGCUUCAAGGAGGCUAGCCCCAGGUAAUCCAGCCUCACAAACUACUCCACAAGGUCCUGCAGAGCCUGGGCAGCCACUUUUCCCAGUCUCAGCCAGCGCACCAGCUUCUUUAGCACACCCCCACCCCUGACGCCCCGCCCUGACAAUGAUGCUCCAAAGUCAGCAGGAAAUAGUAAGAGAGGAGAUUAUGUAUGUGUCCUCCCAUACCAUUCAUCAAUUAUCAACAAAAAGGCUUAGGUUUUUGUUUGUUUUUUUUUUAAUUAACAAACAAACAAAUAGGUCUCGGGUUGGGGAUUUAGCUCAGUGGUAGAGUGCUUGCCUAGCAAGCUCAAGGCCCUGGGUUCGGUCCCCAGCUCUGAAAAAAAAGAAAAAAAAAAAAAAGAAAGUAAAAAGAAAGUAAAAAAAGAAAUAGGUCUCAAACCUGGGACAAAUGGUGAAGGUGCCUACUAAAGGACCUGGCCUCCAGGUUCUCCCUGCAUCUCUUAGUCACUACCUGUUACAGGGCCCCUGACUAGUAUACCUCACCCGUCUAACCCUGAACUCUCCAGCCCAGGGCUCUGGGCUGUUCCUCCCUAUAAAAUCCACCUGUUUUGGUUACCUGAUUUUUUUUUAUUAAUUAAUUAUUAUUUUUUUUUUUUGUACCUUUGGGCCUCCUGACUGCUACACCUGGUUCCCUUCCCCUCCCUCUCCAUUCGCCUCCUUUCUGCCCCACCUCUCCCCUUCUUCUCUCCCCUCUCUUGUCCUCCCCACAUGACUCAGUUCAGUCUGGUUAUGUACACAGACCCUGGACUCUCCCAGAUGUCCCUGCCUCGGCCCAUACUCUUCCACCUGUCUAUAAUAAACCUUCCCCCACCAUAACUACGAACAGUCACA